AUGCUGUCUGAUGAGCUGGCCAAGGUCCAAGCUGCCUCAGAAAAAGCCCCAGCCUCUCCCACCGUCUCAGCUCCCAAUUCAGGGCCACACCCUCCCAGUUCACCCGUGCACUGUGAGCCAGCAGCUUUGGAAGAGCGAGCCCCACUGCCCACCUGUGCAUAUAGGAUGCAGCCUUCCCCUCCGAAAGGAAGCCAGGGAGGGCCUGCUGUAUACCUGCUCACACCACGGUCCGCCCUGUGCCCAGGGCCUGGGAUCACCCAAACCCAGGGUUCCUGUUUUCCCAGUCAGGGCCGGAGGGUCUCUGUGUCGUCCAGGCUGGAGUGCAGUGGCGUGAUCCCAGCUCACUGAAUGAAGCCUCCACCUGCUGGUUCCACUGAUCCUCCCACGUCAGCCACCCAAGGAGCUGGGCCCACGGGUGCUGGCCACCAUGCCCGGUUAUUAUUAUUAUUAUUGUUGUUGUUGUAGAGAUGGGAUCUUGCUUUGUUGCUCAGGCUGGUCUGGAACUCCUGGCUUGAAGCGACCCUCCCUCUUCCACCUCCCAAAGUGCUGGGGUGCCAGGUGUGAGCCCCUGCACCCAGCCUCUAAGAUAUUUUAAAUAGCCGGGCGCGGUGGCUCACGCCUGUAAUCCCAGCACUUUGGGAGGCUGAGGCGGGUGGAUCACGAGGUCAAGAGAUCGAGACCAUCCUGGUCAACAUGGUGAAACCCCGUCUCUACUAAAAAUACAAAAAAUUAGCUGGGCACGGUGGCGCGUGCCUGUAAUCCCAGCUACUCGGGAGGCUGAGGCAGGAGAAUUGCCUGAACCCAGGAGGCGGAGGUUUCGGUGAGCCGAGAUCGCGGCAUUGCACUCCAGCCUGGGUAACAAGAGCGAAACUCCGUCUCAAAAAAAAAAAAAGAUAUUUUAAAUAUAUUCAAAAGUACAGAAAACAACAGCACUAACUGUGUACCCCCUCUGAGCACCCCGACCCCACGGUGGGGCUGCUGAUGUGUUGAAAUCCACAGGGUGGAUGCCCCUGACUUGACCGGCCCCUUCCGCCGGCCGCCAUCCUCACUGUUCCCGUGGGAGAGCCGCGCACAGAGGAAUAAAUGUGUGCAUUUGUAGAUGGACA
rnacentral:lncRNA from 13 species